GGUAACACCCGUUCCCAUGCCGAACACGAUGGUUAAGCUUCUAAGCGCCGAUGGUACUGCAAGGGCAACCUUGUGGGAGAGUAGGACG
rnacentral:rRNA from 1 species